GAUGAACGCUGGCGGCGUGCCUAAUACAUGCAAGUCGAGCGAAUGGAUUAAGAGCUUGCUCUUAUGAAGUUAGCGGCGGACGGGUGAGUAACACGUGGGUAACCUGCCCAUAAGACUGGGAUAACUCCGGGAAACCGGGGCUAAUACCGGAUAACAUUUUGAACCGCAUGGUUCGAAAUUGAAAGGCGGCUUCGGCUGUCACUUAUGGAUGGACCCGCGUCGCAUUAGCUAGUUGGUGAGGUAACGGCUCACCAAGGCAACGAUGCGUAGCCGACCUGGGAGGGUGAGAGGCCACACUGGGACUGAGACACGGCCCAGACUCCUACGGGAGGCAGCAGUAGGGAAUCUUCCGCAAUGGACGAAAGUCUGACGGAGCAACGCCGCGUGAGUGAUGAAGGCUUUCGGGUCGUAAAACUCUGUUGUUAGGGAAGAACAAGUGCUAGUUGAAUAAGCUGGCACCUUGACGGUACCUAACCAGAAAGCCACGGCUAACUACGUGCCAGCAGCCGCGGUAA
rnacentral:rRNA from 1 species